rnacentral:rRNA from 1 species
GAUGAACGCUAGCUACAGGCUUAACACAUGCAAGUCGAGGGGCAGCACUAGGUAGCAAUACUGAGGUGGCGACCGGCGCACGGGUGCGUAACGCGUAUCCAACCUUCCCGAUACUCUUGGAUAGCCUUCCGAAAGGGAGAUUAAUACAAGAUGGUGUUUCAAUUCCGCAUGUUAUUGAAACUAAAGAUUUAUCGGUAUCGGAUGGGGAUGCGUGACAUUAGAUAGUAGGCGGGGUAACGGCCCACCUAGUCUACGAUGUCUAGGGGUUCUGAGAGGAAGGUCCCCCACACUGGAACUGAGACACGGUCCAGACUCCUACGGGAGGCAGCAGUGAGGAAUAUUGGUCAAUGGUCGGAAGACUGAACCAGCCAAGUAGCGUGAAGGAUGAAGGUUCUAUGGAUUGUAAACUUCUUUUAUACGGGAAUAAAACCUCCCACGUGUGGGAGCUUGUAUGUACCGUAUGAAUAAGCAUCGGCUAACUCCGUG